ACGUACCGUCAAGGUACGUUCCGGUUCCUGCGCUCCGGCCGCCCCUCGCUGACGACCGCUCGCUACGCCGCUGGUGACAAUU
rnacentral:sRNA from 1 species